rnacentral:rRNA from 1 species
GACGAACGCUGGCGGCGUGCUUAACACAUGCAAGUCGAACGGAAAGGCCCUGCUUGCAGGGUACUCGAGUGGCGAACGGGUGAGUAACACGUGGGUGAUCUGCCCUGCACUUCGGGAUAAGCCUGGGAAACUGGGUCUAAUACCGGAUAGGAGCCAUUUUUAGUGUGAUGGUUGGAAAGUUUUUUCGGUGUAGGAUGAGCUCGCGGCCUAUCAGCUUGUUGGUGGGGUAAUGGCCUACCAAGGCGGCGACGGGUAGCCGGCCUGAGGGGGUGGACGGCCACAUUGGGACUGAGAUACGGCCCAGACUCCUACGGGAGGCGGCAGUGGGGAAUAUUGCACAAUGGGCGCAAGCCUGAUGCAGCGACGCCGCGUGGGGGAUGACGGCCUUCGGGUUGUAAACUCCUUUCGCUAGGGACGAAGCUUUUUGUGACGGUACCUAGAUAAGAAGCACCGGCUAACUACGUG